rnacentral:lncRNA from 1 species
AAGAAUCCAAAGCUUGAAGAUGAUGAAGAGGACGGGGAGGUUAGGGGAGAGACAACGGGGUUUGUGAAUCUGGACGAGAAUCUGCUGUACGAGGUGCUCAAGCACGUGGACGCACGUACUCUGGCCAUCGCUGGGUGCGUUAGCAAGCUCUGGCACAGAACGUCCCAGGACGAGCGGCUCUGGGAGCUGAUCUGUACCAGACACUGGGCUAAUAUCGGCUGCGGCAACCAACAGGUCCGAUCUGUGGUUCUCGCUCUCGGAGGUUUUCGUCGUCUCCACUCUCUCUACCUCUGGCCGCUGUCCAAGCCCCAGGCUUCCUCAUCAUCUUCGCCGCCGUCGUCAUCGUGGCCGUCGACUGCACUAUCGCCUCCGUUUGCGCCGCAUUCGAUGAUGCGGC